CACACAUUGCAACUACCACCACUGACAGUUACUAUUCAAUUUUUUUUUCUUUCAAAGUAACUUCACGUGAUCAGAUAGGAAAAUUAAAUUAUAUUUUAUACAAAAGUGUUUCUGUUAUCUAUUUAAUUUCGAGAGGUAAUCUGUACCAGCAUCGCUGUCGAGUAGAACUGUUCAAGAUGUAGGUGUGAUAACGAACUAAUACGGGUUACGAUGUAAUCUGCAUAAUAAUGCGCGGGCGUUAUUGGUCCGUGGAUUUCUCUUCGGCUGCAUACAGAUUCAAAAUUACUGAGACGCUUUCGAGCUUCUCGCGUCGUACACGUGAUGAUAGAAGUUGAAUCAGUGCGCCCGGAAUUUCAGCCUUCUUUCCCUCCCCUCCCCUACGCCGAUCGUGGAUUGCCGCUGAAUUUUAAUGGCUCCUAAAGACACCGGGACUUCUCCGUGGCUUUAAAUUUAUUCCGCCUGUUUUCCGCCUCUCGGCCGGCAUUACUUACAAUUUAAUUAUGAUAUGUACCGAAGGAACCGCGCUAACAUUGAAUUAUUUUCCCAUGACCAAAAAGAAUUGGUAAAAGUUACCUCGAGGAUGGCCAUCGAGAAAAUCCUGCACAAUUAGAAAUUAUAAUUUUUACAAUAAUCUCAA